rnacentral:rRNA from 1 species
UACGGGGGGGGCAAGCGUUGUUCGGAAUUACUGGGCGUAAAGGGCUCGUAGGCGGCCAACUAAGUCGGAUGUGAAAUCCCCAGGCUUAACCUGGGAACUGCAUCCGAUACUGGAUGGCUUGGAUUCGGGAGAGGAAUGCGGAAUUCCAGGUGUAGCGGUGAAAUGCGUAGAUAUCUGGAGGAACACCGGUGGCGAAGGCGGCAUUCUGGACCGACAUUGACGCUGAGGAGCGAAAGCCAGGGGAGCAAACGGGG